UACGGGGGGGGGCAAGCGUUGUUCGGAAUUACUGGGCGUAAAGGGCUCGUAGGCGGCCAACUAAGUCAGACGUGAAAUCCCCCGGCUUAACCAGGGAACUGCGUCUGAUACUGGAUGGCUUGAGUUUGGGAGAGGGAUGCGGAAUUCCAGGUGUAGCGGUGAAAUGGCGUAGAUAUCUGGAGGAACACCGGUGGCGAAGGCGACAUCCUGGACCAACACGUGACGCUGACGUGAGCGAAAGCCAGGGGAGCAAACGGGG
rnacentral:rRNA from 1 species